rnacentral:rRNA from 1 species
AUACGUAGGGGGCGAGCGUUGUCCGGAAUUACUGGGCGUAAAGGGUGCGUAGGCGGUUGAUUAAGUUGGAUGUGAAAUACCCGGGCUUAACUUGGGGGGUGCAUCCAAUACUGGUUGACUAGAGUGCAGGAGAGGGAAGCGGAAUUCCUAGUGUAGCGGUGAAAUGCGUAGAUAUUAGGAGGAACACCAGUGGCGAAGGCGGCUUGCUGGACAGUAACUGACGCUGAGGCACGAAAGCGUGGGGAGCAAACAGGAUUAGAUACCCUGGUAGUCCACGCUGUAAACGAUGAUGACUAACCGUCGGCGAUAGACAGCCGGUGGCCAAGCGAAAGCGAUAAGUCAUCCACCUGGGGAGUACGUCGGCAACGAUGAAACUCAAAGGAAUUGACGGGG